GACGAACGCUGGCGGCGUGCUUAACACAUGCAAGUCGAACGGAAAGGCCCUGCUUGCAGGGUACUCGAGUGGCGAACGGGUGAGUAACACGUGGGUGAUCUGCCCUGCACUUCGGGAUAAGCGUGGGAAACUGGGUCUAAUACCGGAUAGGAGCCAUCUUUAGUGUGGUGGUUGGCAAGUUUUUUCGGUGUAGGAUGAGCUGGCGGCCUAUCAGCUUGUUGGUGGGGUAAUGGCCUACCAAGGCGGCGACGGGUAGCCGGCCUGGGAGGGUGUACGGCCACAUUGGGACUGAGAUACGGCCCAGACCCCUACGGGAGGCAGAAGUGGGGAAUAGUGCAAAAUGGGCGCAAGCCUGAUGCAGCGACGCCGCGGGGGGGAUGAAGGUCUUCGGGUUGUAAACUCCUUUCGCUAGGGACGAAGCUUUUUGUGACGGUACCUAGAUAAGAAGCACCGGCUAACUACGUG
rnacentral:rRNA from 1 species